rnacentral:rRNA from 1 species
GGGUUGCAAAAGAAGUAGGUAGCUUAACCUCCGGGAGGGCGCUUACCACUUUGUGAUUCAUGACUGGGGUGAAGUCGUAACAAGGUAACCGUAGGGGAACCUGCGGUUGGAUCACCUCCUUACCU